rnacentral:rRNA from 1 species
CCUACGGGUGGCAGCAGUGGGGAAUAUUGCGCAAUGGGCGAAAGCCUGACGCAGCGACGCCGCGUGAGGGAUGAAGGUCUUCGGAUCGUAAACCUCUGUCAGCAGGGAAGAACGGUCACUGUGCUAAUCAGCAGUGAAUUGACGGUACCUGCAAAGGAAGUACCGGCUAACUCCGUGCCAGCAGCCGCGGUAAUACGGAGGGUGCGAGCGUUAAUCGGAAUUACUGGGCGUAAAGCGCUCGUAGGCGGUAUGUCAAGUCAAGGGUGAAAUCCCCGCGCUCAACGUGGGAACUGCCUUUGAAACGGGCAAACUGGGGUGGGUGAGAGAUUAGUGGAAUUCCAGGUGUAGGAGUGAAAUCCGAGAUAUCUGGAGGAACAUCAGUGGCGAAGGCGACUAUCUGGCACAUAACUGACGCUGAGGAGCGAAAGCGUGGGUAGCAAACAGGAUUAGAUACCCUUGUAGUC